UGGCUUCAGUCUAUUUCAUCCCAGAAGAAAAACUGGAUGUUGAUCUCACACACACUGUGCCCUGUUCUUUUCAUAUAUUUCUAUGUCAUUGUCUCCUGGUGCCAAGGGGAUCAGGGGUUUGGGCUGUGUCUCGGCCUGGGUAUCAAGAGGUGGUUCAUCCACUGAUUCUGAUCCAAUUCUGCUGCAGUGUUGGGAGGUUUAAUUAAAGAUAACAUGUAAGCAAAGAACAAAAAUCCUCUUGCAUGUAUGCACUUGUGUUGCACAAAUAUACAAGCUUCCUGAGAACUGGAUCACAUGGUGCUUUUCCUAGACUGUUCCACUUCAGACUGCAGACUGGGGGGAACUCCAUUCCUAUAAGAAAGUGGCAUGUCCAAGGUAGCCAUUUCCAUGACAUGCUACAUUUCCACUUGCAGAGAUACCCUCAUUUCUGGCACUCAGAUAAAAGACAG